UUGCACUGUGAAAGGACAGCGGGUAGCUGUGCUAGCUACCCAGCCGCAGCUUGUAGCUAGCUGGUGUGGCGCAAAAUAGCAUAGCGUAGGUAGGAUGUUGACUGUUUGCCGUUCAUUCACAGUUGUUAUGGUUCUGGCCAAGUUUAUCGCAUCUACUGUAUAUACAGGGCAGCCCUAGUAUACAGGCAAGUCUUAAUUUAGAGUUGCGCGCCUUCAGUCUCGUGCCACGUUGUGACGCAACAUGCCGGGGCAGCGUGAAGUUCUACUGAAAGAGACGAAGCGUAAAUAAGAGUAAGAAGAACUGUACUCCAGCAAUUUUCAUUGUUCCCACAGCGCAGAGAGAAUAUACAGUAUGCUUGAGUAUCGUUGUACAUUCUGUUUGUAUUUGUUGCUGCUCCAUAUGUCAAAAUAGCUCAGUUGUUUGAAGGUUAAUUACAGUACGUAACAUUUCUUCUAAUUUCUGGUCGGCCAUCUGUGGUAUUUCACAUUAUGUUUGCAUUAAGCUAGAGGACUUUUGUUAGACACACACACAAAAAAAGAUUUUGGUGUUCAAAUAUGCAAUGUACAUUUUUUCAGUUUUGUGUCAGUUUUACAGUAACCUUCAACUGGCAGUUACAAAUACACAGCUUCAAGCAAGCGUGCAUUAUUUGGAGAGCUGUGAGAAAGUGAGAACGGGUGCAAAAGAAAUACUUACAACAAUGCGUUUUAAUGCGUUUGAAUUGGUUUUAAUCAGUUCAAAUGUGCUUAACGUGUGAGUGGGGGGGGGGGGGGGGGGGGUUGACAGCUGUAAUUAACAAAAACAAUUUUUUUUGCAUGGUUUCUCUAUAUCACAGAUGUUUACCUACUGCUGGUGGCUCUCGGCGGUUGACUGUACAUUCCUACCGAUUUCUAAUUGACUCUUGAAGAUGACUGUACUGCAUGGAGUCCAGUGUCAGCAGCCAGGCCUAAGUGUGAGGCUGCACUGAGGCCCUCACACUCGGAUACUGCGGUUCAUGAAUUAGCAUCUCCAGCAACAAUGAGCUCAAUGAAACGAUGCAAACCCAAAAGACAUCCUGGAUGGAACUCACCGAUACCCCGUAUGGAACAUGUACAUCCUCGGUCCGCCGUUCGGUCCAUAUCUGGGGGUUCCGAGGAGGAAGUCCUUCUUUAUGGACACGUAGCUGAUGAGGGACAAGAUGAGCAGCGCCACGCUGAACAUGACGAGCCCCAGGGCGCUGGCGAUGCGCACCAUCCUGCCUCGGCGUCAGUGGGCGGCCGAGCCCGGCACGAGGUUGCGGGACGACGGCGGAGGAGGAGUCGUUGACACCAAGUGCAUAGCCGAGGCAACCUUUCAUUGUUCAGCCGUGGCCCAAUGGUUAAGAUCAUCGCCUGCCACCGUGGGGGACCUAGGUUCAAAACCCCGACGGGACCAUCCGCCAACAUCCUCCGGACUCACGGCUGUGGUGUCCUUGAGCAAGACACCGAUACCCCGAAAUGCUCCCCGGGCGCUUCAGCUGCCCCCUGCUCCAGUGUGUUCCACUAACAUGUGAAAUGCCACAGAAUCUAUAUAAGAACAGCAGCUCCAUGUACCGUGAAUUCUGCUGCUAAAAAUGCUGGCGGAUGUUUGAGCUGUCAGUCAUGUGGAUGCACCCUCGGGAAGUCAGCCCUCAUGCUCUAUUUGAUUCCAUUGCCCCGUUCCCAUGCCCUCUCUCACUGAAAGGGAAUUAGUGAAUAAACACACACACACAGCAGUUUGUUUGUUGGAAGGUUGCAACUGUUAUAGAAGUGUACAAAAAUAGGCAAACAAAAUUGUACAAAUAAAUCUCCGGUAAUAAAUCAGAGAUUUAGUUCAAUCACUUCCCUUUAUAGGA